GGGGCCCGCACAAGCGGUGGAGCAUGUGGUUCAAUUUGACGCAACGCGAAGAACCUUACCUGGGCUCGAAAUGUAGUGGAAUGGGGUGGAAACAUCCCCGUCUCGCAAGAGACUGCUAUAUAGGUGCUGCAUGGCUGUCGUCAGCUCGUGUCGUGAGAUGUUGGGUUAAGUCCCGCAACGAGCGCAACCCUUAUCCCUAGUUGCCAUCGGGUCAAGCCGGGCACUGUAGUGAAACCGCCCCGGAUAACGGGGAGGAAGGUGGGGAUGACGUCAAGUCCUCAUGGCCUUUAUGUCCAGGGCUACACACGUGCUACAAUGGUCGGUACAAACCGUCGCAAACCGGCGAGGGGGAGCUAAUCGGAAAAAGCCGGCCUCAGUUCGGAUUGGAGUCUGCAACCCGACUCCAUGAAGCUGGAAUCGCUAGUAAUCGCGGAUCAGAACGCCGCGGUGAAUACGUUCCCGGGCCUUGUACACACCGCCCGUCACAUCACGAAAGUGGACUGCACUAGAAGCCGGCGUGCUAACCGCAAGGAGGCAACCGUCCAAGGUAUGGUUCAUGAUUGGGGUGAAGUCGUAACAAGGUAACCGUA
rnacentral:rRNA from 1 species